GAUGAACGCUGGCGGCGUGCCUAAUACAUGCAAGUCGAGCGAACGGACGAGAAUCUUGCUUCUCUGAUGUUAGCGGCGGACGGGUGAGUAACACGUGGAUAACCUACCUAUAAGACUGGGAUAACUUCGGGAAACCGGAGCUAAUACCGGAUGAUAUUUUGAACCGCAUGGUUCAAAAGUGAAAGACGGUCUUGCUGUCACUUAUAGAUGGAUCCGCGCUGCAUUAGCUAGUUGGUAAGGUAACGGCUUACCAAGGCAACGAUGCAUAGCCGACCUGAGAGGGUGAUAGGCCAAACUGGAACUGAGACACGGUCCAGACGCCUACGGGAGGCAGCAGUAGGGAAUAUUACGCAAUGGGCGAAAGCCUGACGGAGCAAAGCCGCGUGAGUGAUGAAGGUCUUCGGAUCGUAAAACUCUGUUAUUAGGGAAGAAAAUAUGUGUAAGUAACUGUGCACAUCUUGACGGUACCUAAUCAGAAAGCCACGGCUAACUACGUG
rnacentral:rRNA from 1 species